GUGCAGCAGUCGCGAAAACUCCGCAAUACGCGAAAGCGUGACGGGGCCAUCCCGAGUGCCGUCCGCUGAGGAUGGCUUUUCCCUAGUGUAGAUAGCUGGGGGAAUCAGGAGAGGGCAAGUCUGGUGUCAGCCGCCGCGGUAAUACCAGCCCUUCGAGUGGUAGGGAUGUUUAUUGGGCCUGAAGCAUCCGUAGCUGGCUGUGCAAGUCCUCCGUUAAAUCCAGCGAUUUAAUCGUUGGAUUGCGGGGGAUACUGUGCGGCUAGGGGAUGGGAGAGGCCAACGGUAUUCCCGGGGUAGGGGUGAAAUCCGAUAAUCCCGGGAGGACAACCAGUGGCGAAGGCUGUUGGCUAGAACACGCCAGACGGUGAGGGAUGAAAGCUGGGGGAGCGAACCUGAGUAGAUACCCCGGUAGUCC
rnacentral:rRNA from 1 species